rnacentral:rRNA from 1 species
UACGGAGGGUGCAAACGUUGCUCGGAAUCAUUGGGCGUAAAGCGCACGUAGGUGGCUUGUUAAGUCGGGUGUGAAAUCCCUGGGCUCAACCCAGGAAGUGCACUCGAAACUGGCGAGCUUGAGUACUGAAGAGGGUCGCGGAAUUCCCGGUGUAGAGGUGAAAUGCGUAGAGAUCUGGAGGAAUACCGGUGGCGAAGGCGGCCCCCUGGACAAAGACUGACGCUCAGGUGCGAAAGCGUGGGGAGCAAACAGG